rnacentral:rRNA from 1 species
AUGAGGGCACCCAUGAGAGGAGGAGGAGGCCGCGGCGGCGGCAGGGGCUUCGGCGACAGCGGCGGCCGCGGGGGCCGUGGCCGCGGCUUCGGCGGGAGGAGCGACGGCGGCGGCCGCAGCGGCGGUAGGGGCUUCGGCGGCCGGAGCGCUGGCAGGGGCCGCGGCGGCGGCCGGGGAGGCGGCAGGGGUGGCCCCGGCAUGAAGGGCGGGGCCAAGGUGGUCGUGGUGCCGCACAAGCACGACGGCGUCUUCAUCGCCAAGGCCAAGGAGGACGCGCUCUGCACCAAGAACAUGGUCGCCGGCGAGUCCGUCUACGGCGAGAAGAGGGUCUCCGUCCAGAACGAGGACGCAUCCAAGGUUGAGUACCGGGUGUGGAACCCCUUCAGAUCCAAGCUGGCCGCUGCCGUGCUCGGUGGUGUGGACAACAUCUGGAUUGCUCCUGGAACACGCGUGCUGUACCUCGGAGCCGCCUCUGGAACAACCGUGUCUCAUGUGUCCGACAUCGUUGGACCGAAUGGGUUGGUGUAUGCCGUUGAGUUCUCUCACCGGAGUGGUAGGGAUCUUGUCAACAUGGCCAAGAAGAGGACCAAUGUUAUCCCCAUCAUUGAGGAUGCUAGGCACCCGGCAAAGUACCGGAUGCUGGUCGGCAUGGUUGAUGUUAUCUUUUCAGAUGUUGCACAGCCUGACCAGGCUAGAAUCUUAGCCCUUAAUGCAUCAUACUUCUUGAAGAAUGGCGGCCACUUUGUCAUUUCGAUCAAGGCCAACUGUAUCGACUCGACCCAGGCUGCCGAGGCGGUGUUUGCGAGCGAAGUGGAGAAGCUGAAGGCCGACCAGUUCAAGCCCUCGGAGCAGGUGACCCUGGAGCCCUUUGAGCGCGACCACGCCUGCGUUGUCGGUGGUUACAGGAUGCCCAAGAAGCAAAAGUGA